UACGGGGGGGGCAAGCGUUGUUCGGAAUUACUGGGCGUAAAGGGCUCGUAGGUGGCCAACUAAGUCAGACGUGAAAUCCCUCGGCUUAACCGGGGAACUGCGUCUGAUACUGGAUGGCUUGAGUUUGGGAGAGGGACGCGGAAUUCCAGGUGUAGCGGUGAAAUGCGUAGAUAUCUGGAGGAACACCGGUGGCGAAGGCGGCGUCCUGGACCAAUACUGACACUGAAACGCGAAAGCCAGGGGGGCAAACGGG
rnacentral:rRNA from 1 species